GAGUUUGAUCGUGGCUCAGAUUGAACGCUGGCGGCAUGCCUUACACAUGCAAGUCGAACGGCAGCACGGGAGCUUGCUCCUGGUGGCGAGUGGCGAACGGGUGAGUAAUGCAUCGGAACCGUAUCCUGGAGUGGGGGAUAACGUAGCGAAAGUUACGCUAAUACCGCAUAUUCUGUGAGCAGGGAAAGCGGGGGACCUUUCGGGCCUCGGCGCUCUUGGAGCGGCCGAUGUCGGA
rnacentral:rRNA from 1 species